rnacentral:rRNA from 1 species
GAUGAACGCUGGCGGCGUGCCUAAUACAUGCAAGUCGAGCGAACAGACGAGGAGCUUGCUUCUCUGACGUUAGCGGCGGACGGGUGAGUAACACGUGGAUAACCCACCUAUAAGACUGGGAUAACUUCGGGAAACCGGAGCUAAUACCGGAUAAUAUAUUGAACCGCAUGGUUCAAUAGUGAAAGACGGUUUUGCUGUCACUUAUAGAUGGAUCCGCGCCGCAUUAGCUAGUUGGUAAGGUAACGGCUUACCAAGGCAACGAUGCGUAGCCGACCUGAGAGGGUGAUCGGCCACACUGGAACUGAGACACGGUCCAGACUCCUACGGGAGGCAGCAGUAGGGAAUCUUCCGCAAUGGGCGAAAGCCUGACGGAGCAACGCCGCGUGAGUGAUGAAGGUCUUCGGAUCGUAAAACUCUGUUAUUAGGGAAGAACAAAUGUGUAAGUAACUAUGCACGUCUUGACGGUACCUAAUCAGAAAGCCACGGCUAACUACGUG